GGGCUUGACAUCCCACGAACCUGCCCGAAAGGGUCGGGUGCCCGCAAGGGAGCGUGGAGACAGGUGGUGCAUGGCUGUCGUCAGCUCGUGUCGUGAGAUGUUGGGUUAAGUCCCGCAACGAGCGCAACCCUCACCCCUUGUUGCCACCGGGUCAUGCCGAGCACUCUAGGGGAACUGCCAGCGUCAAGCUGGAGGAAGGCGGGGAUGACGUCAAGUCAUCAUGCCCCUUACGCCCUGGGCAACACACGUGCUACAAUGGCUGGUACAAAGGGAUGCAAGACCGCGAGGUGGAGCUAAUCCCAAAAAACCAGUCUAAGUUCAGAUUGCAGUCUGCAACUCGACUGCAUGAAGGAGGAAUCGCUAGUAAUCGCGCAUCAGCACGGCGCGGUGAAUACGUUCCCGGGCCUUGUACACACCGCCCGUCACACCACGAAAACCGGCUGUACUCGAAGUCGCUGAG
rnacentral:rRNA from 1 species